AAGUCGUAACAAGGUUUCCGUAGGUGAACCUGCGGAAGGAUCAUUAAUGAGUUAGGGUCUCCGGGCCCGACCUCCAACCCUUUGUUGUCACAAAACCAAUUGUUGCUUUGGCGUGGACCGCCCGCGAGGGCUGCCGGUCUUAGGGCCCGCAUGGCGCCAGUCGCGGACCGGCAAAGACGAAAACCAAUCUUCGUUUGAUUUCAAAACCGUACGUCCGAGUAAAAAUGAUUAAAUCAAUCAAAA
rnacentral:misc_RNA from 1 species